GAGUCAUUAGCUCAGUUGGUAGAGCACCUGACUUUUAAUCAGGGUGUCGUAGGUUCGAGUCCUACAUGACUCACCA
rnacentral:tRNA from 1 species